ACGUAGGGAGCGAGCGUUGUCCGGAUUCAUUGGGCGUAAAGCGCGCGUAGGCGGUUUGGUAAGUCGGAUGUGAAAUCCCGAGGCUCAACCUCGGGACUGCAUCCGAUACUGCCCGACUAGAGGUAGGUAGGGGAGAUCGGAAUUCCUGGUGUAGCGGUGAAAUGCGCAGAUAUCAGGAGGAACACCGGUGGCGAAGGCGGGUUGCUGGGCCGACACUGACGCUGAGGCGCGAAAGCCAGGGGGGCAAACGGGA
rnacentral:rRNA from 1 species